AAAUAAAAAAAUUCGCUUGCGGAAUUUCAAGUGCACGGCGCCGCAGCAACUCUACUGCUUGCGCUUCGCGCGGCUGGUUUUUCACCAGCUUUUCAAUUUCAUCCUCGCGCGCAACAAAGAUCCCAGCUGGAAAGAGCAAGGAGGGACAGGAGGGGCAGGAGCGGCUGGUGUUGCUGCUUGCAGCGUAAGCGGCAACGGCAAGAGAGAAAAAGCGAAAGUGGGGGGCGGGAGCUGGUGAAGCACAAGCAUGCACCAAGCAGGAUCAGGCAGGAUCGGAAAUAACGCGUAAGCAGCCAAAGCCAAGCAACGCGCCAACGCCAACGGCAAAAAGAGAAUUGCUAACGACAGUGACAUACGCGCGCAUUCAAGUCCAGUUCUUAUUACGCAUAAUUACGUACGCAAUCCGCUAAUUAUCACCGCGGUAAGUGCACGCACGACCCGCGGAAACCACCCUGGAUUUACGCGUCUCGCGGCUGUGUGUUUGGACCCGAUAAUCGUCAACAAUCUGCUGCAUUUCGGUGUGAACUCGACCGUCCAUCAUAUUAUGCAGAUUGAAAAUUUGUGAAAUGACAACUUUAAUUGGCCCCGCCGCCCCCGCCCUUGCCGUCUGGAAGAAAGCCGAUUGAGGCUGCUGAACGUGGAUCUGUUUUGGAGCGAAUCCCUUGGAUCAAAGGCUUCAAAAUUUCUGGCAGAGUGGGCCCAAGAUGAAGAGGAGGAAGCAGUAGAAGCAGCUGAUGAAGAAAGCAGCUGAUGAGGAAGAAGAUCAAGAAGAAUACGGAGCCAUCGGAGCCACGUGAGACAAAUUUUGUUAUUCGACUGAAUCGUCUUCGAUAUUGUGCCGACUGCUUCUGCUGCUCGUCGGAAGGCUCGGUUCGCACUCGAAAGGGGGUUCCAACCUCGCGCUCCCCCCCUCGCAGGGAGGGUGGUGGUUGUGGUCAUGGUUGUAAGGUCAAACUCUCCCCUUCCCCUAGAUGACCUAAACCACAACCACCAUUCUCCCUGUGAGGGUGAGAGCGUGACAGAGCCAGAAUGGAAACCCCUCGAGUACGAACCGAGCCAGCCGUGAGCAGCAGAAACUGUUUAAAUUUUAUAUUUAUUAACAUGCCAACCAUUUUGACUUUAUGAAAACAUUUAAGGUCGUACUUGCAUUGUAAUUUUAAUGUUUUCAUUUUGAAUAUUAUUUUCUGCAUAUUUAUUCAGUCAUCAAAUUAAUAUAUUUUUGAACAAAAUUUAUCAAUCAAGAGUUAGAAACUUAAGUAUAGUAAAGAUUACAUUGUAUUAAACUAGUUUUUUAAGGAUUGUUCUUUUGCAAAGGUCUGCUUGUUCAUUUCUUUACUUAAAAGAUAUUGUGCCGACUGCAUCGCUGCUCGCGGCUAGCUCGUCGAAGAGCUCGGUUCGUGUUCGAGAGGGGGUUCAGACCUGGCUCUCGCGCUCUCACCCUCGCAGGGAUGGUGGUGGUUGUGGUUUCGGUCGUUUAUGGGGGAUUUUGAUCGAGGUAAAAGUCAAAAUACCGCCUAAUUGAAAAUUACCCUUAAUACUCUCGCGAAAAUUCACCCUUAACUGUUUAUUCCGCGAGUGGGAAAUCAAAAUUGAGGUCAAACUCUCCCUUAGAAGACCGAAAUCACAACCACCACCCUCCCUGCAAGGGUGAGAGUGCGAGAUCCAGGUCCGAACCCCCUCUCGAAUGCGAACCGAGUCCUUCGACGAGCUAGCCGCGAGCAGUAGAACAAAUGUAUGCGAAUAAUAAUUGUAAUUGCAUAUGUAUAAUGGUCAUUAUUUGCUGCAAAUAAAUAUAUUUAAUGCAAAAUUAGAGCCUAGUUUCAACUCGUUCCAAACCCGUGUCGACACGUGACUCGUUCCCAAAACACGUGAUUUUACACGAGACUUCACACGUGUCUAUCUCGUGGUAGACACGUGUUUCAAGACACGUGAACUCGUGGCAAAAACCACGAGUUUUUCACGUGGUAGACACGUGAUUUUUCUCG